UCGGAUAGAUUCAGAGGCUCGGUUUUUCGGAAUGGCUCCGAAGGAUUCGAGCGAUGGAACUAAAAACCGCAAGCCAGAGAAGAAAGAUGAAUAUCUCUCGGAAGAAGACAUGGCAUUGAAGGAACAACUUGAGCUGUAUGUGAAGAUGGUACAGGACUCCGAUCCGAAAUUGCAGAAAGAUGCACUAGAGAGGUUGAGGCAAGAAACUCGUACCGUGACUAGUUCUUUGACUUCUAGUCGAAGAGUGUUAAAGUUCUUGCGUCCUCAUUAUCGAGUGUUACAAGCAUAUUAUGGAGUUAUUGAAGAUUCAAGUUUACAGAAACUCCUAGCAGAUAUACUUUCUGUUUUGGCCUUGACAAUGUCCCCUGAAGGAGAACAUGAGAGCUUAAAAUACAGACUGCUAGGAUCAGAAGGUGAUAUUGUUUUGUGGGGUCAUGAGUAUAUCAGGAUAUUGGCUGCGGAAAUUGGUCAAGAGUGUCAAAGACUGGUGAAUAAUGGUGACCUAAUUGAUAAUGACCUGCUGAAAUUAGUAGAGCAAAUUGUUGUCUUCUAUAUGAAGCAAAAUGCUGAACAUGAGGCAAUAGAUCUUAUAAUGGAGGCUGAAGACUAUGAUAAGUUAGUGGAGCACGUGGAUAAUAUGAAUUACAAGAGGGCAUGCCUCUACCUUACUAGUUUGGCGAAAUAUCAUCAAGAGACCAGUCUCAUUCUGGAUUUUGCAUAUAGAAUUUAUAUGAAUUUUGAAGAUUUUCAUAGAGCACUGCAGAUUGCUUUGUACCUUGAUGAGAUGCAGUAUGUAAAGGAGGUUUUUACAUCUUGCAAUGAUCUGCUGAAGAAGCAACAGUUCUGCUACAUCCUUGCUCGCCAUGGUGUUACUUUUGAACUUGAUGAUGAAAUGUGCGAAGAAGAUGAAGAAAUGGAGAGUCUGCAACAAAUUAUUAACAAUGCUAAAUUGCGUGAAGGUUUUCUUACACUUGCUCGCGAUAUAGAGGUCAUGGAGCCCAAAUCUCCUGAAGAUAUUUACAAGUCCCAUUUACUUGAUGCGCGAGCUGGAGAUAGGAAAAUUGUUGAUUCUGGCAGAGAGAACUUGGCAGUAACAUUUGUCAAUGCAUUUGUAAAUGCUGGCUUUGGUCAAGAUAAGCUGAUGAUUGGUCCACUGGAAGCAUCAAGUGUUGGUUCUACUACAAGCUGGGUUUUAGAAAACAAGGAACAUGGACAGGCUAGUGCUACAGCAAGUCUGGGUAUGAUUUUGCUUUGGGAUGUUGACUAUGGACUCGCUCAAAUUGACAAGUACAUACAUAGUACCAACACUCACAUCAUUGCGGGUGCAUUGCUAGGAGUUGGUAUUCUGAAUUGCAGAGUCAACAAGAAUUGUUAUCUUUUAGCUGAUUAUGUACACAAUAAAGAGUCUUCUAUUAGAAUAGGUGCAAUAAUGGGCUUAGGCAUUGCGAAUGCAGGUUCUCAAGAUAAGGAAAUAAGCAUUAUAUUAAACUCGAUACUUGAAGAUUCUAAGGAAUCUCUGGAUGUCAUUGCCUUCUCCGCAGUCUCUCUUGGCCUGGUCUAUUUGGGUUCCUGCAGCGAAUAUUUUGCUGAAACAAUAUCUUUAACCUUAAAGAAACGAAAUGCAUCAGAUCUGGGGGAGCCCCUCUUUUGUCUCUUGCCUCUUGGUCUUGGUCUUCUGUAUCUUGGGAAGCAGGACAAUGUGAAUGCUAGAGCUACUACGCUUUUAGAGACAUUUAAUGAAAAAAUUGGAAAAUAUUGUUACAUGACCCUGAUCUCCUGUGCCUAUGCUGGAACCGGGGAUGCUCUCAAGGUGCAAAAAUUCCUUCAUGCGUGUGAACAUCUUAAAAACGGUGAAAAGUACCAGGGUCCCGCUGUACUUGGUAUUGCUAUGGUAGCAAUGGCUGAGGAAUUGGGCCUUGAGAUGGCUAUUCGUUCGCUAGAGCAUCUUUUGCAGUAUGGCAAUCACAACAUUAGAACUGCGGUUCCAUUGGCCCUAGGUCUUCUUUGUAUAUCUAAUCCAAAGGUUAAAGUCAUAGACACAUUAAGAAGGCUCAGCCAAGAUAGAGAUAGGGAAGUUGCAAUGACUGCCAUCAUUGCUUUGGGUUUAAUAGGUGCUGGAACCAACAAUGCAAAAAUAGCUGGCUGUCUUCGGAAUCUAUCAACCUUUUACGACACAUUUCCCAGCCUUCUUUUCUGUGUAAGGUGCGGAUUGCUCAAGGUCUUGUCCAUCUUGGAAAAGGCUUGUUGACACUCUCUCCAUAUCAUUCUGAAAGAUUUUUGUUAUCCCCGACUGCACUGGCUGGACUUGUAAUUUUGCUGCAUGCAUGUCUUGAUUUGCGAGAUACCAUUUUGUGGAUGUACCCUUAUGUUCUCUACUUCAUUGUUCUUGCAAUACAGCCAAGGAUGUUGAUGACGGUGGAUGAAGACCUAAAACCUGUAUCAGUACCUGUUCGUGUGGGUCAAGCUGUUGAUGUAGUUGGUCGAGCAGGAUGUCCCAAGACCAUUACUGGUUUCCGCACCCUUCCAACUCCUGUUAUUCUGUCAGCUGGUGAAAGAGCAGAGCUGGCAACUGAGAGAUAUGUUCCUUUAUCCCCCAUACUCGAGGGCUUUGUCAUCUUAAAAGAGAAUCCUGACUACAGAGAUGAUCAAUGAUGCUGAUAAGGUCACAUAUGAAGCCAUGUUCUAUUCAAAUCCGGCUUGGUAUCGUACAGAUUCACAUUUGAACGUAAUGAAUGUUGUGUAUCAAAUAUAUGGAAACUAACUGAAAAUCCUACGAAAAGGAAUUAAAUACGUGUGGUGACAGAUUAUACAAGUUUAUACGAACAAUAUCCCUAAGAUUGCGGAGCAAUGUCAGUGAUUAGGGAAGGACAAAGCAGUGUUAUCUGAGAUUCAAGUUUAUUUUUGUCAA